AGCGAACGCUGGCGGCGUGCUUAACACAUGCAAGUCGAACGUGAAAUGUAGCAAUACAGAGUAAAGUGGCGUACGGGUGAGUAACACGUGGGUAAUCUACCAAAGAGCCUGGAAUAACCGACCGAAAGGUUGGCUAAUACUGGAUAGUUCAAAUGAAAUAUAAUGUUUCGAUUGGGAAAGGGAGCGAGCAAUCGCCUUCACUUUUUGAUGAGCCCGCGUCUGAUUAGCUAGUUGGUAGGGUAAUGGCCUACCAAGGCGACGAUCAGUAGCUGGUCUGAGAGGAUGAUCAGCCACACUGGAACUGAAACACGGUCCAGACUCCUACGGGAGGCAGCAGUGGGGAAUCUUGCGCAAUGGACGAAAGUCUGACGCAGCCACGCCGCGUGAGUGAAGAAGGCCUUCGGGUUGUAAAGCUCUGUCGGAAGGGACAAAAACGUUUAAGGUUAAUAGCCUUAGAUCUUGAUGGUACCUUCAAAGGAAGCACCGGCUAACUUCGUGCCAGCCGCCGCGGUAA
rnacentral:rRNA from 1 species